rnacentral:snRNA from 1 species
AUACUUACCUGGCAGGGGAGAUACCAUGGUCAUGAAGGUAGUUUUCCCAGGGCAAAGCUGAUCCAUUGCACUGAGGAUCUGAUGACCCUUAUAAUCACCCUACAUGAGGGAAACUCAACCACAUAAUUUGAGUUGGUGGGGGGUUAUGUUCACGCUUUCCUCGA